rnacentral:lncRNA from 1 species
GUACUGUCUAAUUAAAUGUAAAAUUUAUAAGAAGUAAGGUGUAAGGUGUAGUUGUUUUCCCAGGUGAGGGAGGACCCUGUCCUGCAGGUCAAUAUUGUCCACGAGGCUCUACUGACCCCCAGCCGUGUCCAGAGGGGACUUUUAGUAACAGGAGCAAAUUAACUUCAAAGGACGAGUGUGUUCUCUGCACUCCCGGUCAUUACUGUGACGUAUCUGGGCUGACGGCUCCAACAGGACAGUGCAGGGAGGGUUUUUACUGCAGACACGGAGCUUCAGUCCCCAACGCUUUAAUCAGAGACAGCAGAGGAGGACCCUGUCCUACAGGUUAUUUUUGUCCUAGAGGCUCCAGCGCUCCUCAAGACUGUCCACAAGGAUCCUUCACCAGCAGCGAGGGCCAGGCCAGCUGCAGCCUCUGUCCCCAGGGUUAUUACUGUCCUUCAAACGGCUCUUUAGCUGAAGGAAUCGACUGCCCUCCAGGUCAUUACUGCCCAACAGGAACAUCCUCAAAAAAUCAGUAUCCCUGUCCACCAGGCACAAUCAAUCCAUAUACAAGGAUGGGCAGUGUAGAGGACUGUGCACCCUGCUCCCCAGGUACACUGCUUCAUACCACACAGCAUUACACUGAUACAGAUACCUGUAAACACAGAGAGAGAGAGAGAGAGAGAGAGAGAGAGAAA